rnacentral:rRNA from 1 species
UCCUACGGGGCGCAGCAGCGGGGGAUAUUGCCCAAUGGGGGAAACCCUGAUGCAGCGACGCCGCGUGAGUGAAGAAGUAUUUCGGUACGUAAAGCUCUAUCAGCAGGGAAGAAUAAUGACGGUACCUGACUAAGAAGCCCCGGCUAACUACGUGCCAGCAGCCGCGGUAAUACGUAGGGGGCAAGCGUUAUCCGGAUUUACUGGGUGUAAAGGGAGCGUAGACGGCAGGGCAAGUCUGGAGUGAAAGGCAGGGGCCCAACCCCUGGACUGCUCUGGAAACUGUCCGGCUGGAGUGCAGGAGAGGG